AACGAGCGCUGGCGGCAGGCUUAACACAUGCAAGUCGAACGCCCCGCAAGGGGAGUGGCAGACGGGUGAGUAACACGUGGGAACAUGCCCAAAGGUACGGAAUAUUCUCGGGAAACUGGGAGCAAUACCGUAUGUGCCCGAAAGGGGAAAGAUUUAUCGCCUUUGGAUUGGCCCGCGUUGGAUUAGCUAGUUGGUGGGGUAAAAGCCUACCAAGGCGACGAUCCAUAGCUGGUCUGAGAGGACGACCAGCCACACUGGGACUGAGACACGGCCCAGACUCCAACGGGAGGCAGCAGUGGGGAAUCUUGGACAAUGGGCGCAAGCCUGAUCCAGCCAUGCCGCGUGAGUGAUGAAGGCCCUAGGGUUGUAAAACUCUUUCGUGGGGGACGAUAAUGACGGUACCCCAAGAAGAAGCUCCGGCUAACUCUGUGCCAGCAGCCGCAGUAAAAC
rnacentral:rRNA from 1 species